rnacentral:misc_RNA from 1 species
CUCUCUAUGGUUUCUCUAAGCCCUAGGUGUUUUAAAUCCGCAUCCCCAUGAAAACUCAUAACAAUAUCUUGCCACUGAUUAAUAUGAGAAACACAUUGUUGAGAGUUGUUCUUGAAGCAAAGAAAUUCGUUACCAGAAGCUGGGUCAACGUGAGCCGUGAGCUUCUCCUGGAUGCGCUUCCACCCGGUCACAUAGGCGGUGUCCUCGUUGCGGUCCUUCCAGACAGCGCGCCACGAUUUCAAGACGGAGCGAGGCGUAGCAGCGCGGAUCUCGUCGGGAGUGGCCAGGCGGUGCUCGAGAAUGCAGCGAAUCAUAAGAGAGUGAGACUCAGCAUUGAAUGUGUAGAAUUGGGAGGAUAUAUGAGGCUCGGGGUUAAUGUAAGCCGGUGCGUGAUUGCUAUGGGGGGCAUUGCUUUUGGGAUUGGAGUGAGUCGGGUGAAUCAACGAGUCAUCGUUGUCAGAAGAGGACUGACUGGGCGACUCGGGAGAAGAGGAGCGGAAGAGGACGAUUUCAGAGAGAGAGAGGUCGUCUUGAAUGGAAGGCUGGGAUUGAGUUUGGUUGGUGGAAAUGAUCCGGGGAGGCGGGCCCAGAUCAUGUUGAUGAUUGUGGAAGAGAUCGUGUUCGGUUUUGUGGGGAUUCAUGAGACAAAUUGAAGAAGCAGCAGCAGCAACAGGAGAAAGAAGAAGAUGGGAGAAGAAGGUGAGUGAGGAGGGAAGGAAGGAGGAGAUUUCGAAGUAACUUCGUGGACUUUGUU